rnacentral:rRNA from 1 species
GGAAGGUGCAAGCGUUAAUCGGAAUUACUGGGCGUAAAGCGCGCGUAGGCGGUUAGAUAAGUCGGGUGUGAAAGCCCCGGGCUCAACCUGGGAACUGCAUUCGAUACUGUUUGACUAGAGUGUAAUAGAGGGAGGCGGAAUUCCGCAUGUAGCGGUGAAAUGCGUAGAGAUGCGGAGGAACACCAAUGGCGAAGGCAGCCUCCUGGAUUAACACUGACGCUGAGGUGCGAAAGCGUGGGGAGCAAACAGGGAUUAGAUACCCUGGUAGUCCACGCUGUAAACGAUGUCAACUAGCCCGUUGGGAGCAAUUUGGCUCUUGGUGGCGCAGCUAACGCGAUAAGUUGACCGCCUGGGAGUACGGUCGCAAGAUUA